rnacentral:rRNA from 1 species
AUGUUUUGUAGCAAAGUACUUAUGGCAUGUUUUGGAAUGGUUUGGUUAUCAAUUUCAUGUGCGGCAACAUAUGUGGAACUGUUCAGCAGUAUUGGUUACCUGUGUGACUUCGUCUACUUGAGCAAUUCAAAUAGGUGCCAGUUCGCGUUACAAGAUUUUGGUAAUUCGACGCGCAAAAAAAAAGAUUUUGGUAACCUGACAAGUGUGCUGCCAAAUUUUGGAAGGCGUCUUGCUAACCCCGACCGUUUAGUUUGUUUGUUGCGGGAUCAAUGGCGGGGCGCAGUGCCUGUCCAUGAACGAGAAAGAACUAGUGCAACAGCGUGCCUGCUUGAACAAUGGUGA